UUGCAAAUACUGACAAAUUAUUGAAAUGCUUAAAGACGUAUAUGAUCUUCACUUGAAAUAUAAAACGAUUUUUGGUUGAAGGAAAAUAAUUAUAUUACGAUUGAAAGCUUGGUAUGCAUAUAUACGUACAAAGACCAUAGUUUUUAUUGGCGGAAAAUGAUGAUGGAUAUGAGUAUCAAGAGAAUUAUUACACAUUUUUGUCAAUUGUUUUGGUGUAUUAAACGUUCACUAUUAAUA